rnacentral:rRNA from 1 species
GUGGGGAAUAUUGGACAAUGGGGGGAACCCUGAUCCAGCCAUGCCGCGUGUGUGAAGAAGGCCUUUUGGUUGUAAAGCACUUUAAGCGAGGAGGAGGCUCCUUUAGUUAAUACCUAAAGUGAGUGGACGUUACUCGCAGAAUAAGCACCGGCUAACUCUGUGCCAGCAGCCGCGGUAAUACAGAGGGUGCGAGCGUUAAUCGGAUUUACUGGGCGUACAGCGCGCGCAGGUGGCCAAUUAAGUCAAAUGUGAGAUCCCCGAGCUUAACUUGGGAAUUGCAUUCGAUACUGGUUGGCUAGAGUAUGGGAGAGGAUGGUAGAAUUCCAGGUGUAGCGGUGAAAUGCGUAGAGGUCUGGAGGAAUACCGAUGGCGAAGGCAGCCAUCUGGCCUAAUACUGACACUGAGGUGCGAAAGCAUGGGGAGCAAACAGGAUUAGAAACCCGAGUAGUCC